UACGUAGGGUGCGAGCGUUAAUCGGAAUUACUGGGCGUAAAGCGUGCGCAGGCGGUUCGUCGUGUCGGUCGUGAAAGCCCCGGGCUCAACCUGGGAAUGGCGAUGGAAACUGGCGAACUGGAGUGUGGCAGAGGGGGGUGGAAUUCCGCGUGUAGCAGUGAAAUGCGUAGAGAUGCGGAGGAACACCGAUGGCGAAGGCAGCCCCCUGGGUUAACACUGACGCUCAGGCACGAAAGCGUGGGGAGGAAACAGG
rnacentral:rRNA from 1 species